CUGUACGGCCACGGCGUCACUGCUGGUGGGGACCUGCAGUGGUGAUGCUGCUCCCGGAGCGUGGCACCAGGCACUGGGGAAAGCUCAGUGUUGGUAUAAACCGGCAGUGGGAACGUGCUGCCGGCAGCUCCAGCGCUGGUGGGGGGUGCUGAGGGGGACAUUGUACGGGGCAGCCCGUCCCCAGGUCCCCCCCAGCUCCUUCCCAUCCUGCUCCUUGGUGCCACGGAGGGUUUGCUGGUGGAGGAUCGCCGUGGCUGUGCCUGGGGAGGAGGCUGUGUGUGGUGCUGGUGUAAAGUAGGUCAGGCGGAACGUGGAACGCCUUCGUGCUGCUCAUCCUUCCUGGGAGCCGUGUCCGCCCGCGCUGCUCCGGGAGCAAAAAGAGGAAGAGAGGAAGGAAAGCAGCUCUCCCAUCCACUGCAAGCUGCCAAGUGGGCUGCUGAGCCCGGGGAAGGGAGGGGGGCGGAUCAACUCUGCUGCACCCACCUGUGGCAGCCAGUUGGCGAAAUCAAGCAUGCAGCAGGUUGCAUGGCACAGCCCAAUCCCCUGUGCUGGGAUGCACCUGGAUGAGAGGCUCGUGGAGCCGGGUGCAUCGGGGUGCAGGGCGUGUGUACACGUGGGGUGGGGUGUAGGAGUGCAGAGCGUUUCUCCAGCGCAAUGCCUUGUGUUGUUUGGUUGUUUGUGUUUUUUCUUGGGGUUGCUCCAAGUCCCGUAAAUAAUUCAGGUGCUUCCAUUCAGCGCUGCGGAGGCUUUCGAUGCGUUUGUAGUGCUGCGGCAACCUGUGCUGGGCUGGUGUUUGGUGUCCUGCAACCAAAGCGCAGUGUGCAGCGUGGAGAAAUGCCUCCAGGAGAGAGUUGGGAAAUGUGAUGUUUGUGGGUUUUUUGCUGUAUUGCAUCCCAGGAGGGAUGACUGCUCAUGGCACCGCUGCUCCUGGGCAGGAGCAGUGGGCAGUGCCCCAGCCCUGUGCCAUGCCCUCAUGUCCCCGUGCUGCAGGAGAGCGUCACCAGAGAGCAUGCUGAGGGCUGGGGGAGAAUCUUGCAGCUCCCUUGGGCUGGCUGGGAAGGGAAAAAACGGAAAAAAAAAAAAAAAGCAAAAAGGGCGUGUGAGAGGAGCGUUACCUCUCCCUGCCGGCUUCUUGCACCGAGCACCGCAGGAGGAGGGCAGGGAGCAUCCUUGCCAUGGCCAUAGAUGGAGGAGAUGGAGCUGCUCCCCUGGGGAGCAGGGGUCUGACACAUGGUGUAAAAAUACCCCCCUGACCUUUCUGCAGAUCACGUCCCCAUGCCGGCUCUGCUAAUGCCCAUGGCACUGGAGCAUCCCCUGCCUGCAGCGUGCCUGUGCCUCAUGCCAGGACCGCAGCACAGUGCCAGCACCAGGGCUAUGUGGGGAGGUGCUGAUUCCUUCGGGAUGACCCAGAUUGUGACAGCGGUGUCACCUGUCCCUUUUGAUUGAGGGCAUCAGCUUCCUCAGGCGCUUCGCUGCAUUUGCUUUGCUCUGGUGUGUGCUGCAGGUUCCCCCAUGGCGGUUCCCAGUGUGUAGCUCAGAUGAUGUCAUGGCUCUGAUGGGUUUGAGACCCUCUCCCACCAUCCCAAGGGAGGCUCAGGUUGGAUAUUAGGAAAAAUUUGUCCUCUGAAAGAGAGCAGUCAGGCUUUGGAACCACUGCCCGUGGAGGCUGUAGAGUCAUCGUACCUGGAGGUGUUCCAGAGCCAUGGAGAUGUGGCACUGGGGGACUUGGUUUGGUGUCAUGGUGGGGAUGGGUCAAGGGUUGGACCUGAUCUUAGAGGUCUCUUCCAACGUUGAUGAUUUUGUGACCCCACAACAGCAGGCAGGGAUGAGUAAUGGGGACUGGCCUUGUGCGGGUCAGAUCCCAUGUGGGAUGCAAGGACUGAGCUCCAUUCCUGCCCCCCACCUUGGGCUGGAAUCGUGGGGGGACACUGGUUUGUCCUCGAGAUGCUCGCUUGUGCCUAUGGCUCCACAGUGGAACCAGGGCUUUUCCUAGGGGUACGCUGCUGUUUUGCACGGGGAGGGAUCUCCAUUGCAGGGAUGAUUCCCCUCACUGUGCUCCUGGAGGUCCCAUGGUGGGGGGACAGGGCAGCGUGCUGGGAGCUGGGCAGCAGCUGGGCAGGGACCUCCCAGGCAGUGAAUUGAAUUGCUCUGCCUUGAACCUGUUAGACAUUAAUUGCGUGGGUUUGGCAAUUUCUGCUUUAUUAAAAAUGAGGAGAGGAGGAAGGCGUGGGAUGGGGGCUGGGGGAGCCAGCACUAGGGGCUGAGCUCCUCACUGGCAGUGCUGGCCUCCUCUUCCUCCUCCCGACCAUCAGCAAAGGGCACAUCUGGUUCCGAGCUGGGGUCAGCAGCUAAUGAGCUGCUGCCCUGCAGAUGGGAGCGGGGCAGAGGGCCGGGCUGGCAGCAGGAUGGAUCCACGGCUCACUGCUGGGGUUGGAGUGGCUCUGGGGAUGGUCCAGGGAUGCGCACAGGGCAGAUGCUGCAAGCACUGGGAUGGGCCAAGCGCCCAGAACUUCCUCCGUGCACCAGGAGCCCCAAAUACUGCCCAAAUCCCAUCAGUGGGACAGGGUGUGCGCGUGGGGACGGCACCGGUUUGGAAGCAGAGAGGUCUUGGGAGGAGUCUGCUUUGGCACUGCAAUCCCCUGCUGAGCCGCUGGCCAGGCUAGGGCUGGUUUGUUGGUUUUUUUUUUUCUUUCUUUUUUUGCUUUUUUCCCUUCAUUUUCCAGUCUGCAGCCACAGGCUGCUGCAUGCUGAUGUUACAACGGACCCGAAUGGUUGCAGUGCACCCGCAAAAAGCAGCCACCCCCAAGCACCUCGCUCCCUGUGUGCCAGCAUCGGUGCACACAGGGCCCACCAGGACCCCGUGGGGGGAAAGAGUCCCUGUGCUGCACCCAUCUCCUUCCCCUCCAGCCCCGGCCCCGGCGUGCAGCAGCGUGCCAGCAGGCUGCUCCCAGCUCUGCCGAGCCCCGGGGAAGCUGAGCCUGCUCCAACCUGCACACAUUCCUCACUCCCAUCGGCAGAGGCUGGGUGCUCAGGGUUUGCUCAGGGUUGCAUUCCCAUACUGAACAGCCUCUCGGUCGCUUGCUCCGUGGUCCCAUGAGCUGCAUUCCCCAGUUUCCCCUUCGUGAGUUAUUUCCCCAUAGUUUGAAGUUAAAGGACCAAGAAGCUCCAAGAAUUAAGCCAAGCCAAACGCACCCAGAGCCUUGUUUUGGAGGCGGGAGAGGCACCCAGGAGGAGUACAGAGCUUUGGUACUUUGCCCUCUCUGGUUUCAGACAUCCUGAAGCCCUCAGCUCGUGGCCCUGCCCCAGCCUGGGGCUCUGCUGGUACCCGAGGAGAGGAGCAAGGACCCACGCCACGGUUCUGUCCCAGCAGCCUCAUCCCAGCACCUUUUGCCCGAGUGGGAUGGAGAGUGGAUGGCAUCCAGCGGCGAGCGCGGUCCGGUUGCAGAGCAUUUGCCCCCUUCUGUUGCGAUGGCUGCUGCCUAUAAUUAGCUUUUUUCUUUCUUCAGAAGAAAGGGGCAGACUUAAAAAUGUCACCCUCAGCAGAGCUGUACCACGUUCGUUUUCGUCCUCGCUCCCUCCUUUGUCACCGAUAUUGUUCCGAGAAGCCCGGAGCCUGCGUGUGUUUUUUCCUCCUCGUUAGAUCAAAGCGCUUUACUUCAGUCUUGGCACGGAAUGGAAAUUCAUUGGCAGGGAUUAAAAAACGAACCUUCAA